GUCCAGCUGACGAGUCCCAAAUAGGACGAAACGCACAUCAAACUGGAU
rnacentral:hammerhead_ribozyme from 1 species